UAGCCUCGGGGGGCGCCGGACACGCGGAGGCCAGGUGGGGAGGCGGGAGGGCCGGGGGGCAGAUGCUGCGCUCCGCAGGGAGCCCGGACUUGUACA
rnacentral:sRNA from 1 species